rnacentral:RNase_P_RNA from 16 species
GUUCUCUCCAUCCAGACUUAUAGAUUGAAACUUUCCUUGAAAGUUUCGGCUUAUGAGUUACAAACUGCUCUUGAGAGCGUCCUUAGCGUGCAAACGCUGGGCGGUGCUAUCAGAAAUUUACCAGUCCUUACUUCGUAUUGGGACUGGAUGGGAAUGGCACUGCGGAUGGUUGGCCCUCUGAAUGAGAGAGAGGGCUUUUGAGUGCAAUAUGCGAACUUGGAUAUUCCAAGAA